UUGUCGUCAGCUCGUGUCGUGAGAUGUGGUUAGUCCGCAACGAGCGCAACCCCUAUUGUUAGUUGCCAUCAUUCAGUUGGGCACUCUAGCGAGACUGCCGGUAAUAAACCGGAGGAAGGUGGGGAUGACGUCAAAUCAUCAUGCCCCUUAUGACCUGGGCUACACACGUGCUACAAUGGUUGGUACAACGAGUUGCGAGUCGGUGACGGCGAGCUAAUCUCUUAAAGCCAAUCUCAGUUCGGAUUGUAGGCUGCAACUCGCCUACAUGAAGUCGGAAUCGCUAGUAAUCGCGGAUCAGCACGCCGCGGUGAAUACGUUCCCGGGCCUU
rnacentral:rRNA from 1 species